rnacentral:piRNA from 1 species
UAGAAGUCACAAAAGCAGUAUUCUGGGCCC